rnacentral:rRNA from 1 species
AUUGAACGCUGGCGGCAUGCCUUACACAUGCAAGUCGAACGGCAGCGCGGGAGCAAUCCUGGCGGCGAGUGGCGAACGGGUGAGUAGUGCAUCGGAACGUGCCCAGUUGUGGGGGAUAGCCCGGCGAAAGCCGGAUUAAUACCGCAUGAGACCUGAGGGUGAAAGCGGGGGAUCGAAAGACCUCGCGCGACUGGAGCGGCCGAUGUCAGGUUAGGUAGUUGGUGGGGUAAGGGCCUACCAAGCCUGCGAUCUGUAGCUGGUCGGAGAGGACGACCAGCCACACUGGGACUGAGACACGGCCCAGGCUCCUACGGGAGGCAGCAGUGGGGAAUUUUGGACAAUGGGCGCAAGCCUGAUCCAGCCAUGCCGCGUGCGGGAAGAAGGCCUUCGGGUUGUAAGCCGCUUUUGUCGGGGAAGAAACGGCCUGGGCUAAUACCUUGGGCUAAUGACGGUACCCGAAGAAUAAGCACCGGCUAACUACGUGCCAGCAGCCGCAGUAA